CGAAAGUUACGCUAAUACCGCAUAAGCCCUGAGGGGGAAAGUGGGGGACCGCAAGGCCUCACGCGAAUGGAGCGGCCGAUGUCAGAUUAGCUAGUUGGUGGGGUAAAGGCUCACCAAGGCGACGAUCUGUAGCGGGUCUGAGAGGAUGAUCCGCCACACUGGGACUGAGACACGGCCCAGACUCCUACGGGAGGCAGCAGUGGGGAAUUUUGGACAAUGGGCGCAAGCCUGAUCCAGCCAUGCCGCGUGCGGGACGAAGGCCUUCGGGUUGUAAACCGCUUUCAGCCGGAAAGAAAUCGCUGUUUUUAAUACAGACAGUGGAUGACGGUACCGGAAGAAGAAGCACCGGCUAACUACGUG
rnacentral:rRNA from 1 species